CUUCAUACUUGGAAGGUUUUCACGGAACAAGGAACGUUGAAAAUACAUGCCCCAGGAAAGAUUUUAAUGUAGCCACAAAUUACUCGGGCACCUACCAAAAUCGCGGCGUCUUCCUCCUGAUUUGAAUCUCACAGAGGCGCCAUUGAAAAUUGGCUGCAGUACGACCCUGCCGCAGUCUCGCAGAUCUGAUUUUCUUGGCGACUCAGUCGUCGGGUGCGGAAGCGGGACUGCAGACACCGGCGCCACGGCCACCAUGUCCACGCCGUGUGAGCUGUGGAGGCCACACUCCUGGUACCCGUGGCGUAUCCUGGCACGCCCGCGAGAACUGAGACUCAAUUUGAAGCCUUGCUUUGGGCGACGCAGAGGGCAGACGCCAUGGAUGCCUGGCACUCUACUACAUCUAAUUAUAAUCGUAAGGUGGAGGUGGAGGACAUGGAUUUGCACUGACAUUAAUCUCCUGAUGAAAUUGCUUGAGAGAGAGAGAGAGAGAGAGAGAGAGAGAGAGAGAGAGAGAGAAUAAUUUCAACAAAGAGUAAAAUGGAGCGACCAAGUAUCCAUGCUUAUUUAUGCUGUCAAGAUGGACAUUCGUCAAAAUGACUCAAAGAGAGCAAAGGGAAGUUCUAAAUAAUUUCAAAGGAGGAGUUCUAGAAGCAGCCCAUCACUUAAGCAUAAAACCAUUGCCUUGAUCAUUUGUUGUUGGUAUGAGAAACACUUAGAUGACAAAGAACCAAAUUCAACAAUAAACAUUGAAGUUGUGUUUUAUAUUUCUUAUUCAUUCCUGAA